rnacentral:rRNA from 1 species
AAAAAGUCGAACAAGGUCUCCGUUGGUGAACCAGCGGAGGGAUCAUUACCGAGUUUACAACUCCCAAACCCCUGUGAACAUACCUUAUGUUGCCUCGGCGGAUCAGCCCGCGCCCCGUAAAAAGGGACGGCCCGCCGCAGGAACCCUAAACUCUGUUUUUAGUGGAACUUCUGAGUAUAAAAAACAAAUAAAUCAAAACUUUCAACAACGGAUCUCUUGGUUCUGGCAUCGAUGAAGAACGCAGCAAAAUGCGAUAAGUAAUGUGAAUUGCAGAAUUCAGUGAAUCAUCGAAUCUUUGAACGCACAUUGCGCCCGCCAGUAUUCUGGCGGGCAUGCCUGUUCGAGCGUCAUUUCAACCCUCAAGCCCAGCUUGGUGUUGGGAGCUGCAGUCCUGCUGCACUCCCCAAAUACAUUGGCGGUCACGUCGAGCUUCCAUAGCGUAGUAAUUUACAUAUCGUUACUGGUAAUCGUCGCGGCCACGCCGUUAAACCCCAACUUCUGAAUGUUGACCUCGGAUCAGGUAGGAAUACCCGCUGAACUUAAGCAUAUCAAU